CUGGCUCAGGAUGAACGCUGGCGGCGUGCCUAACACAUGCAAGUCGAGCGAGAUACUGUUGAACAGAGAUCGUCAACGGGAUACAGUGGAAAGCGGCGGACGGGUGAGUAACGCGUAGGCAACCUGCCCUUACACAGGGAUAGCCAUUGGAAACGAUGAUUAAAACCUGAUGACACCUAAAGAUGACAUCUUCCUUAGGUCAAAGAUUUAUCGGUAAGGGAUGGGCCUGCGUCUGAUUAGAUAGUUGGUGAGGUAACGGCCCACCAAGUCAACGAUCAGUAGCCGACCUGAGAGGGUGAUCGGCCACAUUGGAACUGAGACACGGUCCAAACUCCUACGGGAGGCAGCAGUGGGGAAUAUUGCACAAUGGGGGGAAAAACCCCCUGAUGCAGCAACGCCGCGUGAAGGAAGAAGGUCUUCGGAUCGUAAACUUCUGUCCUAGAGGAAGAUAAUGACGGUACUCUUGGAGGAAGCCCCGGCUAACUACGUGCCAGCCGCCGC
rnacentral:rRNA from 1 species